rnacentral:rRNA from 1 species
UACGUAGGGGGCUAGCGUUGUCCGGAUUUAUUGGGCGUAAAGAGCUCGUAGGCGGCUUGUUGCGUCGACCGUGAAAACCCGCGGCUCAACUGCGGGCUUGCGGUCGAUACGGGCAGGCUGGAGUUCGGUAGGGGAGACUGGAAUUCCUGGUGUAGCGGUGAAAUGCGCAGAUAUCAGGAGGAACACCGGUGGCGAAGGCGGGUCUCUGGGCCGAUACUGACGCUGAGGAGCGAAAGCGUGGGGAGCGAACAGG